rnacentral:rRNA from 1 species
CCUUUAAAGCUUCACUGUUCCUUGAAAUUGGGUUUGGGCCUUUCAUGCGCAGCUUAGGCGGAAGGCGAAGAAGGCCUCCUUCUGGGGAGGCCUAAGCCAUCACGCACUUUGAAAGGGUUAGACUUCUAACCUUGUGUCAGGACCUACAGGCCAGAGGACAGUUUCGGGUAAAUAGUUCUAUGGGGGCGUAGGCCUCCCCAAAGGUGACACAGAUGUGCAAAGAUUUCUUUGGGUCGGACGAAAAUUAGCCCUUGAGUGCAAAGUCAAAAGGGAACUUGACUACAAGACCCACUCGUCAAGUAGAGAUGAAAGUGCUAAGUGGAAGGCUCUUCGCUCAACAUAUAAAAGUUACUCUAGG